CCUACGGGUGGCAGCAGUGAGGAAUAUUGGUCAAUGGGCGAGAGCCUGAACCAGCCAAGUCGCGUGAAGGAUGAAGGAUCUAUGGUUUGUAAACUUCUUUUAUAUGGGAAUAAAGUGAGGAACGUGUUCCUUUUUGUAUGUACCAUAUGAAUAAGCAUCGGCUAACUCCGUGCCAGCAGCCGCGGUAAUACGGAGGAUGCGAGCGGUAUCCGGAUGUAUUGGGUUUAAAGGGUGCGUAGGUGGUUAAUUAAGUCAGCGGUGAAAGUUUGUGGCUCAACCAUAAAAUUGCCGUUGAAACUGGUUGCCUUGAGUGUAUUUGAGGUAGGCGGAAUGCGUGGUGUAGCGGUGAAAUGCAUAGAUAUUACGAAGAACUCCGAUUGCGAAGGCAGCUUACUAAACUGCCACUGACAUUGAUGCUCGAAAGUGUGGGUAUCAAACAGGAUUAGAUACCCCAGUAGUC
rnacentral:rRNA from 1 species